CGUCCAGUUGCUUCGGCGGCGCGGCACCCCUUAACGGGGGCGCCGCAGCCCUGCCUCUCCGGAGGUUCGGGGCGCCCGCCGGAGGUACGAAACUCUGUAUUAUAGUGGCAUCUCUGAGUAUAAAACAAAUAAGUUAAAACUUUCAACAACGGAUCUCUUGGUUCUGGCAUCGAUGAAGAACGCAGCGAAAUGCGAUAAGUAAUGUGAAUUGCAGAAUUCAGUGAAUCAUCGAAUCUUUGAACGCACAUUGCGCCCGGUAGUACUCUACCGGGCAUGCCUGUUCGAGCGUCAUUUCAACCCUCAAGCCCUGCUUGGUGUUGGGGCCCUACGGCUGCCGUAGGCCCUGAAAGGAAGUGGCGGGCUCGCUACAACUCCGAGCGUAGUAAUUCAUUAUCUCGCUAGGGAGGUUGCGGCGUGCUCCUGCCGUUAAAGACCCAUCUUUAACCAAGGUUGACCUCGGAUCAGGUAGGAAUACCCGCUGAACUUAAGCAUAUCAAUAAGCGGAGGA
rnacentral:rRNA from 1 species